UCGUAACAAGGUCUCCGUUGGUGAACCAGCGGAGGGAUCAUUACCGAGUUUACAACUCCCAAACCCCUGUGAACAUACCACUUGUUGCCUCGGCGGAUCAGCCCGCUCCCGGUAAAACGGGACGGCCCGCCAGAGGACCCCUAAACUCUGUUUCUAUAUGUAACUUCUGAGUAAAACCAUAAAUAAAUCAAAACUUUCAACAACGGAUCUCUUGGUUCUGGCAUCGAUGAAGAACGCAGCAAAAUGCGAUAAGUAAUGUGAAUUGCAGAAUUCAGUGAAUCAUCGAAUCUUUGAACGCACAUUGCGCCCGCCAGUAUUCUGGCGGGCAUGCCUGUUCGAGCGUCAUUUCAACCCUCAAGCACAGCUUGGUGUUGGGACUCGCGUUAAUUCGCGUUCCUCAAAUUGAUUGGCGGUCACGUCGAGCUUCCAUAGCGUAGUAGUAAAACCCUCGUUACUGGUAAUCGUCGCGGCCACGCCGUUAAACCCCAACUUCUGAAUGUUGACCUCGGAUCAGGUAGGAAUACCCGCUGAACCUAAGCAUAUCA
rnacentral:misc_RNA from 1 species